rfam:TPA: Bos taurus chromosome 14, whole genome shotgun sequence.
CCUGCAUGAUGGCUGCACCUGUCAGCUGCAAGGAGCUUCCUUUAAGGAUCUUCUGAGUCUUGUGGGUAAACUCCAGGAGUUGGUGAUGGACAGGGAGGUCUGGUGUGCUGCAGUCCAUGGGGGU